GCGCAGACCAUUAAAGCAGACAGAUGUGCGCAUCUCUGGUUUUUCCCUCCACUCCCCGUUUCCUGUUCGUCCGAUUUCCGAAACUGUCACAGGAUUACACUGGACUUGACUUGAUGAAUAUGAACAAAGCAGCAGAAGCAGUCAGCAGGACAUUUCCAUGGAGAGAUGAGUGGAGCUGAGAGAGUGAAAGAAGAAGAAAAGAGGAGGGAAUGAGAACAGAGUGAUCUGGAGUAGAUCAAAUAAAAUACUGUCUGAUAA